CCUCUUUCUCUCUCCUCUCCCCCGACUCUUCCCCCUUUCCCUUCGGAUUUUCUUCCUCCCUCUGAUUCCUCACUUUCCGGCCACCAUCCGGCGUGCAACCGGUCACCACAGGGGCGCCUCAACCCGCUCUGGACGCCAGUGACCUAGGAUUGUGGAGUUUUGGCCGUGAAAGUCCGGAUCGAAGCAAAGAUUGCUCCGGCUGCAGUUUUGGGAUUUCGCCGAUUUCCGGCCAUUCCGGCCACCUCCGGCCACCAUAUUGACAUCGAAGGGUUCUUGAAGCUUCGGGGCUUUCCUUCACCGGCUUGAUUCGACUACUUCGAGGACGAGAGGAGUCUCCAUACGAGGAAAAUACCGAGCGACGUCAGGAUUGAGCAUAUAUCUUUUCAGUGUUGCUGCUCGGCGUUCAGGAGUGAGCCAUAGUGACCGCAUCCGCUUCCGUCAUCAUAUUUUGUAGGUUAUUUAUUUAGCCUACUGUACUCUAUGUUAAACUUAUAUUCCUAGAAUGCUCUGAUUACUAAGGGAUAUGUGACCCAAACUUGUAUGAAUUAUAUUUGAGGUCUAUGACCUAACUUUGGUGAUUGUAGUAACUUGUACCUUUCGGAGAUUAUGUAUGAUGUUGUUAGCUUUGAGA